AUUGCCUGUAAAGGCGAAGGGAGAAAAUAAGCGGCUAUUUAUUUUCUAUGAUUUUAAAGAUUUUUAUCUGGACUUAGAAACCUAAUUUAUUUGAAAAUUAUUUAUUUUUAGUGAAAGAGUGAACCUUUUAAGCUCAAAUUAGAUGAAAUUAACUCAUUAGCAAAAUUGUUUUGUCAAUGAAAACUUUAGUAUUGAUUCGGUGAAAACUGCUGGCUCAUAGGAAAUCGCACCGUAAGCGAAAUGACAACAAAUCCAGCCGCAGCGUAGUACGAACGAAAGAGGAACUGUCACAAAGGCUGACGGAUGCUGAUUCAGUUUCACAGUGCAACACUAUCUUUUACGUAGGCUAGUCUAUCGCCCAUGAGGGACCGCCCGUGAUCUAACCACGGUAUUUUGAUAUUCAGUGAAGACCCAAUAAAAAGGUAGAAAAAGUGACGACAGAUGCACAGGAACAAUUUCGAGAGUCCUACAACGCUUCAUAAGAAGACCUGUUCUCGAACUCAUUCUCCGCUCUUGCACACUGGCUGCCAUCAGCUUCCGGGAGCCUUUUGUGAUCACCGUUCAUCGCUUUUAUAAUUGUAGAUUUAAUAUUAAUUGUCUUUUAUCGUUGUCUCCAAAUAGAGGCUAGCCAGGUUGGCUUUUUAGCUACGUAAAAGGUCAUCAGAUUAUGAGCGCGGUUGUUAUGGACACACAAAUGUUGGAGGAAAAA
rnacentral:misc_RNA from 1 species